GGUCUCAUGGAUUAAAAGGGAAUCGGGUGUAAAUCCCGGACAGUCCCGCUGCUGUGAAGCUCCAACCAACCAUUCGAAGUCUAUAAACCACUGAUCACUUGUAAGGAUUGGGAAGGUGUCGAAUGGGGAGUCAGUCAGAAGACCUGCCAUCAAUUUAU
rnacentral:ncRNA from 1 species